rnacentral:lncRNA from 1 species
CAUAAACUUAAACCUACCUACUGUGCCUCACCCACUCCUUCCUUUGAAAAUCCCAGUAAAGUUUCUGCUCUGGGCCAUGUUCCCCUCUCCCCUUCUGCCUCCUGGCUGACCUCGAUUCUUCCCCAUGUGGCCCUGCAGGGUAUGCCAGGUCUCCCAUUUCUGGGGAUCCUACUGGAUCUUUUUUUUCCACUUUCUCUGCCAAGCUGAAAGAGAGUUGCACUGAGUGUGAGCAAGGACAUUCCUUGAGCUGAACACUGCAAGUGAAAGUGAAAGUCGCUCAGUCAUGUCCGGCUCUUUGCAACCCAGUGGACUAUACAGUCCGGGGAAUUCUCCAGACCAGAAUACCAGAGUGGGUAGCCUUUCCCUUCUCCAGGGGACCUUCCGAACCCAGGAAUUGAACCAGAGUCUCCUGCAUUGCAGGCAGAUUCUUUACCAGCUGAGCCACAAGGGAAGCCCAUUUCUGGGAAUCUAG